UACGUAGGGUCCGAGCGUUGUCCGGAAUUAUUGGGCGUAAAGAGCUCGUAGGCGGUCUGUCGCGUCGGCUGUGAAAUCCCCGAGGCUCAACCUCGGGUCUGCAGUCGAUACGGGCAAACUGGAGUGUUGCAGGGGAGACUGGAAUUCCUGGUGUAGCGGUGAAAUGCGCAGAUAUCAGGAGGAACACCGGUGGCGAAGGCGGGUCUCUGGGCAACAACUGACGCUGAGGAGCGAAAGCGUGGGGAGCGAACAGG
rnacentral:rRNA from 1 species